rnacentral:misc_RNA from 1 species
GAUGAAGAACGCAGCGAAAUGCGAUAAGUAAUGUGAAUUGCAGAAUUCAGUGAAUCAUCGAAUCUUUGAACGCACAUUGCGCCCCUUGGUAUUCCGAGGGGCAUGCCUGUUCGAGCGUCAUUAUAACCCCUCAAGCUCAGCUUGGUGUUGGGGCCUGCUGCACUGGCAGCCCUUAAAAUCAGUGGCGGCGCCAUCUGGCUCUAAGCGUAGUAAUUCUUCUCGCUAUGGAGUCCUGGUGGAUGCUUGCCAUCAACCCCCAAUUUUUCUAUGGUUGACCUCGGAUCAGGUAGGGAUACCCGCUGAACUUAAGCAUAUCAAUAAGUGGAGGA